rnacentral:rRNA from 1 species
GAUGAACGCUGGCGGCGUGCCUAAUACAUGCAAGUCGAGCGAACAGACGAGGAGCUUGCUCCUCUGACGUUAGCGGCGGACGGGUGAGUAACACGUGGAUAACCUACCUAUAAGACUGGGAUAACUUCGGGAAACCGGAGCUAAUACCGGAUAAUAUAUUGAACCGCAUGGUUCAAUAGUGAAAGACGGUUUUGCUGUCACUUAUAGCUGGAUCCGCGCCGCAUUAGCUAGUUGGUAAGGUAACGGCUUACCAAGGCAACGAUGCGUAGCCGACCUGAGCGGGUGGUCGGCCACACUGGAACGGAGACGCGGUCCAGACUCCUACGGGAGGCAGCAGUAGGGAAUCUUCCGCAAUGGGCGAAAGCCUGACGGAGCAACGCCGCGUGAGUGAUGAAGGUCUUCGGAUCGUAAAACUCUGUUAUUAGGGAAGAACAAAUGUGUAAGUAACUAUGCACGUCUUGACGGUACCUAAUCAGAAAGCCACGGCUAAGUACGUG